rnacentral:rRNA from 1 species
UACGUAGGGUGCAAGCGUUGUCCGGAAUUAUUGGGCGUAAAGAGCUCGUAGGCGGUUCGUCGCGUCGGCUGUGAAAACCUGAGGCUCAACCUCAGGCCUGCAGUCGAUACGGGCGGACUUGAGUACUGCAGGGGAGACUGGAAUUCCUGGUGUAGCGGUGAAAUGCGCAGAUAUCAGGAGGAACACCGGUGGCGAAGGCGGGUCUCUGGGCAGUAACUGACGCUGAGGAGCGAAAGCGUGGGAGCGAACAGG